CCACCACGCCUGGCUAAUUUUUAUGUUUUUGGUAGAGACUGGGUUUCAUCAUGUUGCCCAGGCUAGUCUCGAGCUCCUGAGCUCAAGGUAUCUGCCCACCUCAGGAGUGCUGGGAUUACAUGAGUAUGCUACCAUGCCCUACCUUAUCUCUUAUUAGUGAAAUUUAUAUACUUUAUUGAAGGAUUUUCUGGGGAAUUCUGAAAUGAAAUAUUUUAGGUUUUUUUUUUUACACUGUGAACCAGCUUGUGUGGUUUUGUUUUUUUUUUUUUUUGCCUCCUGUAUUGUUUUCCUCAGAAAGUCACUGAAUACCCAUGCAAAAAAAUCUGUCAUAGAACAUUACAUUAUCUGUACAUGACUACAGAAGUUUUGGGUUUUUUCCAAUUUGUUUUGAUAGCAAUUACAUUUUUCCUAUUUUUCUUGAGGUAAGCAAUGUAUCUUUGCCAUAUAUUAUGAAAGAACUAAGAGAUAUGUUACAGUACACAUUAAGCACUUCACGGUGGCAGUUGUAAAGGUUAAUACUUUAAAUGCCGCUGCAUUUUAAUUUGACAUUUGACUACAGAAAUUUAAAUGUCUACAUGUAUUCAGCAUAUUGUUUUAUAUAUUCAUAUUUUUAUAUGUAUCAGUCACCUUUCUCUGCAAAUGGAUCACAAUCUUAGAUAGUAUUAACUCAGAGAACAUGAGUGGAUAGGUAGCUGAAGAAUCACUAAGUAUUUUUUAAAAUAAAAUCAGGAAUUUUUGUGUGGGGGCGCUAGGGGGAAAUAUUUGAUUUGUGGAUGGGGAAAACAAGUUAACUAUCAUUGAAGCAGAACAUUUUGGAAUUUCUUUUUGUCAGUAAGGAGCAAAAAACUGACUCUGAUCUAAGAGUUUGGCUGUAAGUGCUCUCACAAAAGGGACUUCAUAUUAAAAAAGUAAAUGCAAGGUAGGCUUAUAACUAGAAGUUAUUUGAGACAAGAAUGACAUAAAGCCAGGGAUUUCUCCAAGGAAAGUUGUUUGGGAAAAGGAAUUGAGAAUAAUUGAGUUUUACAGGUAAGUGUCUCCCUUGGUGAUCAAUCAGUGUGAGAAAAGCAUCUGUUUUAUAAGAGCGCCAUGUAGAAUUUAAUUAAAGGGGGAGCUAUCAAAGAUGAGCGAGAAGUUUGUGUCAUCCAAGUGCGUAUAGUUGCUAUACUCCCAAACAGAGGAUGUUAUCUAGAGUUGGAAGCUAAAUGGAAAAGUCAGGGGAAUAAGGACCUAUGCUUAAGAGAAAUGAGUAGAGGCUAUGUCUCUACUAAAGACGCAACAUGAAGAGUUGGUAAGAGUAAUGAGUAAUUUAACGCAUUAGUUUAAAAAUACAUGAAGAUAAAAGAUGAAAUGACACUGUGUUCUCUGUUAAUAUUAAGAGUCUUAAAAUUUUGUAUUGCCUAUAUUCAUUCAAUAACCUGAAAGGACUUGAUUGAUACCAGUAUAUAGUAGGUUAAACCAUAUAAAAUUGCCAUCAUUCAACCAUUUUAGCCUAUGAAAAUUUUGUAUGGGUAAAAUUAAAGCCUUUGUAGUGAAUAUGAUUAUGCUUUCCUAUUUAAGCAAUGGGAAACAUAAACAACAUUUAUUUUGUCAUUUUCCUGGAUUAAACUAAAACUUACAUCUUCUGAGUUUUAACUAGCUAAAUGGAUGUUAAAGGAAAAAAGUAAUGCUGAGAAUUCUGGGAAGAUAGCAGUAGUAUCAAAAGGCAUACAAAUUCCCACAAAACUUAGUUAACUAGAUAACAAAACCAAAAACCCAUGAUUAAUAUUUAUAACAAAAUGAGGUGAUAAGGUAUCCUCAUGAACCCCAAAACGUGUUGGUGGGGACAAACCACCAGCAACCAUAGGACCUGCUUGGUAUCAGCAUCUGUGCUAAAAGAAGCAGUAAGUACAACAUGGUUGGCAUCUGACAGCACUGAGAAAAGGAGAACCUCAGAAGAGCUAAUAGAUCCUCACUGGGAAGCAAAGUGGGCUAAUUUAAACAUAGAAGCUGACUGAGAGGGGUUUUGCCCUUUAGCACAUGAUGACAAUAGAUCUGCACUAAGGAGGACUUAAAGGGGCUCAGGCAAUGUCAAAAUAGACCCAGGAGGGCUCCGGGACCCCAUACUGAGGAGAAAUUUCAGGAAAUGAAAAUUGAAAAGGGUUGAGACAUGGUUAAGGAAGGAAACAGACCAGAUCAAAGUGGAGGGGAACAGAGCCUGGAAAGCUCAAAGCCGGCCUCCAUCAUUUUGAACAGUACAAAAACAACAGAGGGAGCUCUGUGAAGUUAGAAAAACUACCCUAAUUCACCUCAUUCUAAAAGCUGAGGGAAACUAAUCUCACAUAAAAACAGUAACAGGAAGUAUUAAGGUCAAAUCCUGUACAGUGUUACAAGAAAAAAAGUGAUGUGGAAUAGAACAAUAUCCCUAGAGACAAUGAAAUCAAGACAAAAAUACGCCUGUAAAGGCGAAAACCGUAACCUUGCAUUUCAAAGCAAGCUACAAACAAGAAGAUGGUAUAAAACAUGAAAGAAAAACAGAAUCAGCAUUAGUAAAACUAAGAAAUGAAGUGACAGAGUUUAGGAAAAGAAUUAGAAAUAAAUUAUUUCAUAAAUGGAAACUAAACAAGAAGGAACAUAAACAACGGAUAAUGGGUUAAGAAAAAUAGAAGAUGAAAAAAAUUUAAAAGAAGAGUCAACCUUUGGACAAGCGUCCGUGAAGAAGAAAACCAGAGCAAGGAAAGAGAACGAAUACUGUAAAAAUACAAUUUAAGAUAAGAGACUUGAAACUACAUAUUGAAGAAACAUUCCAAGUGCCUGAGAAUAUCAACCAGGAAUAAUGAACAUCAGGAUAAAUUCCUUUAAAAUUACUGGACUUGAAAUCAUUUGGAAAUGUAGGGGGGGUGGGGAAGACGGCAUGACUUAGAAAAUUAGGCUAUCAUCAAACUUUGGUAGCAGAAAGGCUUAAGGAAAAUGUGAGAGAUAAGUAUUUCAUAUCCUGCAUAACUGACUUAAUCAGAGCACAAACUAUUAGCAGGGAAUACUUUUCCAAUAAUCCCUUCAUGAGGAAUCUACUAGACAAAAGACUUUUAUAACCAAAAAAAAAAAAAAAA